GACGUAGGGUGCAAGCGUUGUCCGGAUUUACUGGGCGUAAAGAGCGCGUAGGCGGUCUGUUAAGUGUGAAGUGAAAUCUCCAGAGCUCAACUCGGAAACUGCUUCGCAUACUGGCAGGCUGGAGGAAUGGAGAGGUGAGUGGAAUUCCUGGUGUACCGGUGAAAUGGGUUGAUAUCAGGAGGAACACCGAUGGCGAAGGCAGCUCACUGGCCAUUAUCUGACGCUGAGGCGCGAAAGCGUGGGUAGCAAACAGGAUUAGAAACCCCCGUAGUCC
rnacentral:rRNA from 1 species